rnacentral:rRNA from 1 species
AGCGAACGCUGGCGGCAGGCUUAACACAUGCAAGUCGAACGCAUCCUUCGGGGUGAGUGGCAGACGGGUGAGUAACACGUGGGAACGUACCCUUCGAUCUGGGAUAACUUCGGGAAACUGGAGCUAAUACCGGAUACGCCCUUUUGGGGAAAGGUUUACUGUCGAAGGAUCGGCCCGCGUCUGAUUAGCUAGUUGGUGGGGUAACGGCCUACCAAGGCGACGAUCAGUAGCUGGUCUGAGAGGAUGAUCAGCCACACUGGGACUGAGACACGGCCCAGACUCCUACGGGAGGCAGCAGUGGGGAAUAUUGGACAAUGGGCGCAAGCCUGAUCCAGCCAUGCCGCGUGAGUGAUGAAGGCCUUAGGGUUGUAAAGCUCGUUUGUCCGGGACGAUAAUGACGGUACCGGAAGAAUAAGCCCCGGCUAACUUCGUG